UAGGGAAUCUUCCGCAAUGGACGCAAGUCUGACGGAGCAACGCCGCGGGAGUGAAGAAGGAUUUCGGUUCGUAAAACUCUGUUGUUAGAGAAGAACAGCGCAUAGAGUAACUGUUAUGCGUGUGACGGUAUCUAACCAGAAAGCCACGGCUAACUACGUGCCAGCAGCCGCGGUAAUACGUAGGUGGCAAGCGUUGUCCGGAUUUAUUGGGCGUAAAGCGAGCGCAGGCGGUCAAUUAAGUCUGAUGUGAAAGCCCCCGGCUCAACCGGGGAGGGUCAUUGGAAACUGGUUGACUUGAGUGCAGAAGAGGAGGGUGGAAUUCCAUGUGUAGCGGUGAAAUGCGUAGAUAUAUGGAGGAACACCAGUGGCGAAGGCGACUCUCUGGUCUGUAACUGACGCUGAGGCUCGAAAGCGUGGGUAGCAAACAGG
rnacentral:rRNA from 1 species